UAGAGCAGCUCCGGUCUCUUCCGCGUUCCCCACAUGGAGGCAAUGAGCUUGGCACAGCUGUUUGGAGCCUGCCGGCUGUAUCCGGCCCCAACUCCAGCACUCCGGACAAAAAAUGUUGCCUACCCCUGCCCUAGGGAAAGGGAGAGAUUCCCUCUCCCUGGCCAGGCUAUUAUUAAACUUCCCACCUUUGACCUGGGAGGGCAGUCCUAAGAUAGUGGUCCCUUCUCAAGGACAUAGAGACAUCUUUUGGUCGCUGAAUCAAGCUGUGUACCUCCAGAAUCCUCUGGAUGUUGCUGUGAGUAACUGAUCUGAACGGGAGCCAGUAACUUAGACCUAAGCAUUCUAGACGCAUACUGAACGGGCCAACGAGCCCCUUAUACUGUUUUGCUCAAGGCUGUUUUGUUUCAAAAUUCCUUUUGGUUUGUAUUCCUUCCCUGUGCCCUCCCUCUCCAAUCAAUAAAGCUAUGUAUCAUAGCAAGCCUGACUGUAAAUGUUUGAGAAGGAUUGGGCAUGCCUUUUUGCUCCCUUUGCUUGGCUGAUUAAGGGAAGCUACUGUGGAAGAAAUCAAACUUCGCGUUGUGGUUGUAUUAGAAUUGGCAGAGCCAUCUAGGUUUAUUUAAAGCUAUAUAAGUGAUCACAGGGAGAGUUCUCAAAGGAGCUCUGACCUCUACAAA